AACGAACGCUGGCGGCGUGGAUAAGACAUGCAAGUCGAACGGGACAGACCGAGUAGCAAUAUUUGGAAUGUUCAGUGGCGAACGGGUGCGUAACACGUGGAUAACAUUCCGGAAAGCGGGGAAUAGCCCAGGGAAACUUGGAUUAAUACCGCAUGUGGCCGCAAGGCUAAAGACGGGGACCGCAAGGCCUGUCACUUUCCGGAUGGUCCGCGGCGUCUCAGCUAGUUGGCGGGGUAAUGGCCCACCAAGGCUACGACGGGUAGCUGGUCUUAGAGGACGACCAGCCACACUGGAACUGAGACACGGUCCAGACACCUACGGGUGGCAGCAGUCGAGAAUCUUUCACAAUGGGGGCAACCCUGAUGGAGCGACGCCACGUGGAGGAUAAGGUCUUCGGAUUGUAAACUCCUGUCAUGCGAGAACAAGGUACUCAGGCUAAUAACCUGAUUGUUUGAUGGUACCGCAAGAGGAAGAGACGGCUAACUCUGUGCCAGCCGCCGCAGUAACAC
rnacentral:rRNA from 1 species